rnacentral:rRNA from 1 species
CAUGGUUGUCGUCAGCUCGUGUCGUGGGAUGUUGGGUUAAGUCCCGCAACGAGCGCAACCCUUAUCUUCAGUAGCCAGCAAUUCGGUUGGGCACUCUGGAGAGACUGCCAGGGAUAACCUGGAGGAAGGUGGGGAUGACGUCAAAUCAUCAUGCCCCUUAUGAUUUGGGCUACACACGUGCUACAAUGGCGUAAACAAAGGGAAGCAGCCCUGUGAAGGUGAGCAAAUCCCAAAAAUAACGUCUCAGUUCGGAUUGUAGUCUGCAACUCGACUACAUGAAGCUGGAAUCGCUAGUAAUCGCGAAUCAGAAUGUCGCGGUGAAUACGUUCCCGGGUCUUGUACACACCGCCCGUCACACCAUGGGAGUCGGAAAUGCCCGAAGUCAGUGACCCAACCGUAAGGAGGGAGCUGCCGAAGGUGGAGCCGGUAACUGGGGUGAAGUCGUAACAAGGUAGCCGUAUCGGAAGGUGCGGCUGGAUCACCUC